UCUAAGAAUUAAAGAAACAGGGAAGCAAGCGAGAUGCUGAAGUGUAGAAUAGUAAUAAUACAGAGUCCAACAACAGUGGAAAUGUAAAGGAUGGAGAAGUGGAUGUGAUUUCAGCCCAGAACAAACAACCAAUUGUUGCUGGUGGUGGGAGAUUUAGGCCACAUUCACACCAGCCUUUGAUCAUUUUGGUUGCCCUAACUAACUAACUAACUAACUAACUAACUAAACUAACUGCAGUCCAUAGAUUAUGUUAAGACCAAACAUGAGAGGCAAGAUGGAAAUUUUUUAAAAAUAAGGUGAACUCCUAUGUCCAGUAUCCAUAUCUCAUAUGACCAUACCAGGAGCGAAAAAGCCACUAGUGUAGCUGUUUUGAGUUCCAAAGUCAUGAAAAAUUUGCACAGAUGGUGGAUGUUUCUUGGGAGAGAAAGGGAGGGGGAAAUUGGUGUAUGAGCCACUAGGAAGCAAGCAGGAUCCAUCAUAUCUAAUUAUUUGUUCUUAAUUGUCAGGGAAAAGGGUGGAUUGAUGAAAAGCAGCUGGGUGAUAACAUUAAGUUUCUCAAAGCCAAGAACUGUAGUAGAUUGAAAGUUUUGCCUUUUCAUAAUCCACGGACUGUUAAUUAUCUAAACACAGGUCCCUUGGAGCUGCCGGAGUGAAGAUUAAUUAGUUUUUGAAAGAAUAGCUAAAUUGAUGCCAGAAAAGAGGGCUUGGGCUUUGAAAAUAAUGGCUGAAAAUUAGCCAAGCCUCUUUCUUCAUUCCUCUUUGUGGGGCUCCAGAUGAGAUUUGUCUCUGCUGUUUUGGUGGAGAGGAGCCAUUAAUCAAACAGGCAGACGUUCCUUCCCAAAGUCGGGAACGCGGCGGAGUGGACGACAAAAUCAUCCACACGGAAGGGAAAUGACGAGAAAGCGUGGCAGAUUCCAUGCUGCACGGAUCUGCACAGGUUCCAGCUUUGUUUCUGCAAGCCAUUCUGCAUACAUGCAUUGCCAGCAAACAAUGAAAAAUCCACCCCAAAAAAACUCGGGAGGGAGGUGAUGGCAGCAGCAGCAGCAGCUUGGCUUUUCCCAGAUAGAGAGAAGCUAUUAAUCUACGGCGGGUCCAGCAGCCAAGUGAGACACGCAAGCAUCCCACAACACCACCACCAGAAGGUGAUGCGUUUCUUCAAGCUCAGUCCGAGUUUUUGAAGAUAACAGAAGACAUCUUUUUUAAAAAGUGCAUGAGCUCAAGUGGAGACUUGAAUACAUUCCUUCCACCUGGUCAGGUGAAAAAGACCAGACAAGACAUUGUUCAGAUGCAGGAAAGGAAGCUCUUCCAUAAUACUAGAACUUAGGGAUAUCCAAUGAAGCUGAAUAUUGGAGAUUCAGGCCAGAACAAGGAAAGGACUGAUUCACACAGCACAUCGUUAUGCGACCCAUGAGCCAAGGAGAUAGAAGACAUCUGAAGGCAGCCCUGUAGGGAAGUUUCUUAUUGUUUUGUUAAGUUUUUAUAUCUGUUGGAAGCCACCCAGAGUGGCUGGGUCAACCCAGUCAGAUGGGCAGGGUAUAAAUAAUAAAAUAAUAAAACUGUUGUUGUUAUAUAGGAUGUCCCUAUUUCCAUCAGAGGGUAUGGAACUAUGGAACUCCUGGAUGGAAAACCUGGAUGGCUUUAAGAUAGAAUUAGAGAUAUGCAUGGAGACAGCUCUCAAUCUCCAUCUUACAAUC
rnacentral:lncRNA from 1 species